CAGAGGGCUUAGACUACGGCUUCCCUCACAGGCAGGAUUUGGACACUCUCGUGAAAUGCUUCAUUAACGGUCACAGCGCCCUUGGGCAUGGCUACCAGUGACAUCCCCAGUAUGUUGGUGUUUGAUCUUCUGCCUAUCACUUCAUGGUCCCAAGAUGGUUUGUAAAGUUCCAGACAUCACAUCUAUAUCAUCCGUGUUCAAGCUGACCUCACCAGCCACCACAAUAAAUGCAGAGAGGCCUCAUGGAAUGCUUUCGAGAAUGUGGCCAGCUUUUACAGAAUCACCUGCAGAUGUGCUCCAGAAGCUACAGAAAUUCCAACAAGGAAGAGAAUUCUCUUGUCUUCUGACAAGACCCUUGUUCCUCCUGAACUGAGCUGCUUUGAGACACACUGCAAAAGUGCAAGUAAAUGCGGUGUGCUGCUUUUCCAUUUCUGUCGAAAUAAAUUAAAAUCGGUCUUCAAUGGCAGAUACUGUGGCCUG